UAAUACGUAGGUCACAAACGUUGUCCGGAUUUAUUGGGCGUAAAGGGUCCGUAGGCGGUUCGGUAAGUCUCCUGUGAAAUCUUCAGGCUCAACUUGAAGAGGUCGGGGGAUACUGCCGGACUUGAGACUGUUAGAGGCAAGUGGGAUUCCCGGUGUAGUGGUGAAAUGCGUAGAUAUCGGGAGGAACACCAGUGGCGAAAGCGGCUUGCUGGGACAGUUCUGACGCUGAGGGACGAAAGCGUGGGUAGCAAACCGGAUUAGAUACCCGGGUAGUCCACGCCGUAAACGAUGAAUGCUAGGUUUUCGGGGUAUCGACCCCCUGGGAGCCGUAGCUAACGCGAUAAGCAUUCCGCCUGGGGACUACGGUCGCAAGACUA
rnacentral:rRNA from 1 species